rnacentral:rRNA from 1 species
GAUGAACGCUGGCGGCGUGCUUAACACAUGCAAGUCGAACGGUGAAGCAGGAGCUUGCUCUUGUGGAUCAGUGGCGAACGGGUGAGUAACACGUGAGCAACCUGCCCCUGACUCUGGGAUAAGCGCUGGAAACGGCGUCUAAUACUGGAUAUGUGAUGUGACCGCAUGGUCUGCAUCUGGAAAGAAUUUCGGUUGGGGAUGGGCUCGCGGCCUAUCAGCUUGUUGGUGAGGUAAUGGCUCACCAAGGCGUCGACGGGUAGCCGGCCUGAGAGGGUGACCUGCCACACUGGGACUGAGACACGGCCCAGACUCCUACGGGAUGCAGCAGUGGGGAAUAUUGCACAAUGGGCGGAAGCCUGAUGCAGCAACGCCGCGUGAGGGAUUACGGCCUUCGGGUUGUAAACCUCUUUUAGCAGGGAAGAAGCGAAAGUGACGGUACCUGCAGAAAAAGCACCGGCUAACUACGUGCCAGCAGCCGCAGUAA